UACAGAGGUCCCAAGCGUUGUUCGGAUUCACUGGGCGUAAAGGGUGCGUAGGUGGUCGGGUAAGUCUGAGGUGAAAUCUCCGAGCUCAACUCGGAAACUGCCUUGGAUACUAUUCGGCUAGAGGGUUGGAGGGGGGACUGGAAUUCUCGGUGUAGCAGUGAAAUGCGUAGAUAUCGAGAGGAACACCAGUGGCGAAGGCGAGUCCCUGGACAACUCCUGACACUGAGGCACGAAAGCGUGGGGAUCAAACAGG
rnacentral:rRNA from 1 species